rnacentral:snRNA from 1 species
AGAGGUGGGAGCAAUCUGGCUGCAACCUCUGUCACCCUGUGGAUCGUCAGGGUUGAUCUGGCUCAUCUGGCCAUCAAAGCUGGCAUUCCCUUCCUUCCUGACUGCUCCAUGUGAGUUACUCCUGAAGGUGUAGUCUUAAUGUAAGAGGACGACUGUCUCAGAUAGAAGGACAGGUCGAGGGUAUGCAAUUGCUGUGCUUCCUUGCCAGGACCUCCAAAAAUGCUCAACUAUUCUAAUGAAAGCAUGCUCUCAUCAUAUUCUUGGAACUUCACCAAGGUGAUGGAGGGGAGCAGGGCUCACACUGGAGCUUAUUUUCGGUUUGGAGAUAUCAAAGGCAAAGG